AUACUUAUCUGGCAUGGGCGAUUCCAUGAUCAGGAAGGUGGUUUCCCCAGGGUGAGGCUCGCCCAUUGCACUCCGGGUGUGCUGACCCCUGCAAUUUCCCCAAAUGUGGGAAACUGCGUAAUUUAUGGUAAUGGGGGACUGUGUGCGCACUCUCCCCUG